rnacentral:rRNA from 1 species
AGAGUUUGAUCGUGGCUCAGGGUGAACGCUGGCGAUGUGCCUAAGACAUGCAAGUCUAACGGUCCUGCUUGCAGGACAGUGGCGAACGGGUGAGUAAUGGGUACGAACGUACCUCCAAGUGGGGCAUAGCCCGCCGAAAGGCGGAGUAAUUCCCCAUAAUGCCUUCGGGCUAAAGAUUUAUCGCUUGGAGAGCGGCGUACUUGCUACCAGCUAGUUGGUGGGGUAAAGGCCCACCAAGGCUAUGACGGCUACCGGCUCUUAGCGGAGAGUCCGGCACAAUGGGACUGAGACACGGCCCAUACACCUACGGGUGGCAGCAGUUAGGAAUCUUGCGCAAUGGACGAAAGUCUGACGCAGCAACAUCGCGUGUAGGAUGACGGCCUUCGGGUUGUAAACUACUUUUAUUUAACAAUAUUGUUAGAGGAAUAAGCACCUACUAACUACGUGCCAGCAGUCGCGGUAAUACGUAGGGUGCGAGCGUUACCCGGUUUUAUUGGGCGUAAAGGGUCUGUAGGCGGUCUUUUAAGUCUUGUUUCAAAGCCUCCGGCUCAACCGGAGAAAGGGGCAGGAUACUAGAAGACUAGAGUGAUAUCGGGGUUACUGGAAUUUGUAGUGUAGGGGUUAAAUCCGUGGAUACUACAAAGAACACCAAUCGCGAAGGCGGGUAACUAGGUAUAUACUGACGCUAAAAGACGAAAGCUAGGGUAGCAAAUCAGAUUAGAGACCUGAGUAGUCCUAGCUGUAAACGAUGUCUGUUAAUUUUUCUCGAGCAAUCGGGAGAGAUGUAAGCUAACGCGUUAAACAGACCGCCUGGGGAGUAUAGCCGCAAGGCCGAAACUCAAACGAAUUGGCGGGGAGGCGCACAACCAGUGGAGCAUGUGGUUCAAUUCGACACGAAGCGAUGAACCUUACCUGGGUUUGACAUAUAUUUGCACGGCCCCCGAAAAGGGGUCUUCCUUCGAGGGUAAUAUACAGCUGUUGCAUGGCUGUCGUCAGCUCGUGACGUGAGUUGUUCUCUUAAUGAGGUAACGAGCGCAACCCCUAUCGUAUGUUACUGUGUCAUACGAAACUGCCUAGCAUUAUUUUUGUUGGGAGGAAGGAGGGGACGACGUCAAGUCAGCAUGAUGCUUAUGUCCAGGGCUACACACAUCCUACAAUGGGGUAUACAACGGGUCGCAAUGCCGCGAGGCGGAGCCAAUCCUUAAAAUACCUCUCAGUUGGGACUGCAGGCUGAAAUUCGCCUGCACGAACUUGGAAUUGGUAGUAAUCGCAGAUCAGCAGGCUGCGGUGAAUACGUUCUCGCCUCUUGCACACACUGCCCGUCAAAUCAGCAAAGUUGAGGGCACCCAAAACUUAGCAUUUGCUAAGCUAAGGUGAAUUCAGCGAUGAGGGUUAAGUCGUAACAAGGUA